GCAAGCGUUGUUCGGAAUUACUGGGCGUAAAGGGCGAGUAGGUGGCCAUCUAAGUCAGACGUGAAAUCCCCCGGCUUAACCUGGGAACUGCGUCUGAUACUGGACGGCUUGAGUAUGGGAGAGGAACGUAGAAUUCCAGGUGUAGCGGUGAAAUGCGUAGAUAUCUGGAGGAAUACCGGUGGCGAAGGCGGCGUUCUGGACCAUUACUGACACUGAAUCGCGAAAGCUAGGGGAGCAAACGGG
rnacentral:rRNA from 1 species